rnacentral:rRNA from 1 species
UACGAAGGGGGCUAGCGUUGCUCGGAAUUACUGGGCGUAAAGCGCACGUAGGCGGCUUUCUAAGUCGGGGGUGAAAUCCUGGAGCUCAACUCCAGAACUGCCUUCGAUACUGGAGAGCUCGAGUCCGGGAGAGGUGAGUGGAACUGCGAGUGUAGAGGUGAAAUUCGUAGAUAUCAGGAGGAACACCGGUGGCGAAGGCGGCUCACUGGCUCAUUACUGACGCUCAGGCGCGAUAGCGUGGGGAUCAAACAGG